rnacentral:rRNA from 1 species
UACGUAGGGGGCUAGCGUUGUCCGGAAUCAUUGGGCGUAAAGAGCGUGUAGGCGGCUCGAUAAGUCCGCUGUGAAAGUCCAGGGCUCAACCCUGGGAUGCCGGUGGAUACUGUCGGGCUCGAGUCCGGAAGAGGCGAGUGGAAUUCCUGGUGUAGCGGUGAAAUGCGCAGAUAUCAGGAGGAACACCGGUGGCGAAGGCGGAUCUCUGGGCCUUACCUGACGCUCAGGCGCGAAAGCUAGGGGAGCGAACAGG